AUUUUCUGCUCUUUCAAAGAAAAAAAAAUGAUUUCUCUUCAAAAAAAUCCUCUCUCCCUCCAGCACUGCCCAAAAUCCAGCGAGGGAAACCGCCGUCGACACCACCGGCCGCCGUCGUACGGUGGCCGGAAAAUCCCAAAGGGAUCAACGCACGUGGAUGGAAGUGACGGUGGCAGUUGGCGGUGGUUGCUGGCAGAGCAGGUGGGCAGAAGACCAAAAGUCAGAAGACCCUAGGAGCGGCGCCUAGGGUUCUUCUGUUUUCUGCUAGGGUUUUCUGUUUCCUUUUUUUUGGUUGGGCCAUUUGGGCUGUUUAAGUUAGUUGGGUAUUGAAAGUUUGGGUUUAAUUUGUUUUGGGUUUGUAUUAGUUUUGAUGGGCUUUGGGCUGGGGGUUUAUUACUGGGCCCGGGCAAAAUGGCCUGCAACAUAGAUAGUAUUAUAGUAGGUGGUAUAAUGUUGAUGUAAGCCUAAAGAAUGAACCAUAUUUGUCUAAAAGCUAGGCAAUAUCGGAAAUAGAAUUAUGGGAAUUUAUUUUAAUAGAAAAAGAAAAAGAGUAUAUUUGCUAUGAAAUUUAAAA